rnacentral:lncRNA from 1 species
UUUAAUUCCUUUCCAGGAACAAGUACCUUCCCAGAGCUUGUGAGCAGAAGAAAAUGGAGCCUCUCUUCCCGGAGAGUCAUGUUUGUAGCAGUGCCAAGCAGAUGCUCCUUCCUUCCACCUCUGGUCUCCACAUCUCUCGUAGGGCAGGGUGGGGAGUGCCCAGCCUGCCCUAGGUGUGCAGCUGCCCCUUUGGGCUGUGAACCAAGCUGUCAGGGCCAGCACUGAGCCCACUAUGUCAUGAGCAGGGUGGCUGUCUGGGCUGCAGCAGGUAGACCCUCAGGACAUCUGAGCCAGGCUGCCCCCGAGCAGGUCGGCGCUGCUCCCUCCCUGGGCCUGCGUGGCUGUCCUGGCACCGAUCUCCCUGCCUUGUUCUGUGUGUCCUCCCUGAGCACAAGCAGGCCAUUUGCUGCAUUAGCCUCAUUACGCUUCCUUUCCAAAAAGCGCCCACCACUGUCUGCCUUGUGGUUUGGAAAGGGGUUAACGCUUUCCCCUCCCAAACCUCAGCUCACCAGCACAUCUCCCUUGUGCUGCAAUUAUUGAAUGACACUUCACAACUUCAUCUCCUCUCCUGCUACAUCUGCUUGCUGCUCCCAUGUGCAACCUCGCUCACAUCCCAAACAUCUAAAUGCAUUGUUUCCUCUGUUUCUCCUGCCAGCAUGGAAAGGAGCCAUCCCUGAAGCAGGAUUGCCUUUGAGCUGGCAGCAGACGAAUGAUUGGCAUUGGGCAGCGCUGCUGAGACUCUGGCAGGCCGUUUAGCAGAGAACCUUGGCUAAUGAAUGUCAUCCACACCUAGCAGAUGUGCCACUGCCUGCCAUGCCAGAUUUUUGACAUAAUACAGGGCUGCUGGACACAACAGUGCUCGGGAAAAGCCAGGGAGCGACUCGUGCCUUCAACGUGGCGUUUCGUCCUGCCUGUGCUCUGCAAGAGAAACAAAACCUGCAGGGGGGAGGGAGGCACAGCCGCGUCUCCCGGCCCUCCACCCUGGUUUUAUCGAUACAGAUAUACAAGGCAAACCAAAGGUUUCGGCUGCUAUUCAGUGCCUCCUCAUUUGUCCCAGAGCCGUAACAGUGGUGCCCUUUCUCUUCUGGCUGCUUUUCCCUGCUUCUGGAGCAGCAGUUAUGGGAGAAGCAGAUGGCUACUGAUUGGGUGAGCUUUGUGGCUUUAAUUCUGAAUACUUUAUGGAAAAGGACUUUAUCAUGCUUGGUUGGUCAGAGGAACAACGGGAUGAGAUUUAUGACUAGAGAAAAUAAAUCUUUUUAAGUUUCAGGCUCCUUCA